rnacentral:rRNA from 1 species
GCGAUACAGGGUGACAGCCCCGUACACAAAAAUGCACAUGCUGUGAGCUCGAUGAGUAGGGCGGGACACGUGGUAUCCUGUCUGAAUAUGGGGGGACCAUCCUCCAAGGCUAAAUACUCCUGACUGACCGAUAGUGAACCAGUACCGUGAGGGAAAGGCGAAAAGAACCCCGGCGAGGGGAGUGAAAAAGAACCUGAAACCGUGUACGUACAAGCAGUGGGAGCACAGAGCAAUCUGUGUGACUGCGUACCUUUUGUAUAAUGGGUCAGCGACUUAUAUUCUGUAGCAAGGUUAACCGAAUAGGGGAGCCGAAGGGAAACCGAGUCUUAACUGGGCGUUAAGUUGCAGGGUAUAGACCCGAAACCCGGUGAUCUAGCCAUGGGCAGGUUGAAGGUUGGGUAACACUAACUGGAGGACCGAACCGACUAAUGUUGAAAAAUUAGCGGAUGACUUGUGGCUGGGGGUGAAAGGCCAAUCAAACCGGGAGAUAGCUGGUUCUCCCCGAAAGCUAUUUAGGUAGCGCCUCGUGAAUUCAUCUCCGGGGGUAGAGCACUGUUUCGGCAAGGGGGUCAUCCCGACUUACCAACCCGAUGCAAACUGCGAAUACCGGAGAAUGUUAUCACGGGAGACACACGGCGGGUGCUAACGUCCGUCGUGAAGAGGGAAACAACCCAGACCGCCAGCUAAGGUCCCAAAGUCAUGGUUAAGUGGGAAACGAUGUGGGAAGGCCCAGACAGCCAGGAUGUUGGCUUAGAAGCAGCCAUCAUUUAAAGAAAGCGUAAUAGCUCACUGGUCGAGUCGGCCUGCGCGGAAGAUGUAACGGGGCUAAACCAUGCACCGAAGCUGCGGCAGCGACGCUUAUGCGUUGUUGGGUAGGGGAGCGUUCUGUAAGCCUGUGAAGGUGUACUGUGAGGUAUGCUGGAGGUAUCAGAAGUGCGAAUGCUGACAUAAGUAACGAUAAAGCGGGUGAAAAGCCCGCUCGCCGGAAGACCAAGGGUUCCUGUCCAACGUUAAUCGGGGCAGGGUGAGUCGACCCCUAAGGCGAGGCCGAAAGGCGUAGUCGAUGGGAAACAGGUUAAUAUUCCUGUACUUGGUGUUACUGCGAAGGGGGGACGGAGAAGGCUAUGUUGGCCGGGCGACGGUUGUCCCGGUUUAAGCGUGUAGGCUGGUUUUCCAGGCAAAUCCGGAAAAUCAAGGCUGAGGCGUGAUGACGAGGCACUACGGUGCUGAAGCAACAAAUGCCCUGCUUCCAGGAAAAGCCUCUAAGCAUCAGGUAACAUCAAAUCGUACCCCAAACCGACACAGGUGGUCAGGUAGAGAAUACCAAGGCGCUUGAGAGAACUCGGGUGAAGGAACUAGGCAAAAUGGUGCCGUAACUUCGGGAGAAGGCACGCUGAUAUGUAGGUGAAGUCCCUCGCGGAUGGAGCUGAAAUCAGUCGAAGAUACCAGCUGGCUGCAACUGUUUAUUAAAAACACAGCACUGUGCAAACACGAAAGUGGACGUAUACGGUGUGACGCCUGCCCGGUGCCGGAAGGUUAAUUGAUGGGGUCAGCGCAAGCGAAGCUCUUGAUCGAAGCCCCGGUAAACGGCGGCCGUAACUAUAACGGUCCUAAGGUAGCGAAAUUCCUUGUCGGGUAAGUUCCGACCUGCACGAAUGGCGUAAUGAUGGCCAGGCUGUCUCCACCCGAGACUCAGUGAAAUUGAACUCGCUGUGAAGAUGCAGUGUACCCGCGGCAAGACGGAAAGACCCCGUGAACCUUUACUAUAGCUUGACACUGAACAUUGAGCCUUGAUGUGUAGGAUAGGUGGGAGGCUUUGAAGUGUGGACGCCAGUCUGCAUGGAGCCGACCUUGAAAUACCACCCUUUAAUGUUUGAUGUUCUAACGUGGACCCGUAAUCCGGGUUGCGGACAGUGUCUGGUGGGUAGUUUGACUGGGGCGGUCUCCUCCUAAAGAGUAACGGAGGAGCACGAAGGUUGGCUAAUCCUGGUCGGACAUCAGGAGGUUAGUGCAAUGGCAUAAGCCAGCUUGACUGCGAGCGUGACGGCGCGAGCAGGUGCGAAAGCAGGUCAUAGUGAUCCGGUGGUUCUGAAUGGAAGGGCCAUCGCUCAACGGAUAAAAGGUACUCCGGGGAUAACAGGCUGAUACCGCCCAAGAGUUCAUAUCGACGGCGGUGUUUGGCACCUCGAUGUCGGCUCAUCACAUCCUGGGGCUGAAGUAGGUCCCAAGGGUAUGGCUGUUCGCCAUUUAAAGUGGUACGCGAGCUGGGUUUAGAACGUCGUGAGACAGUUCGGUCCCUAUCUGCCGUGGGCGCUGGAGAACUGAGGGGGGCUGCUCCUAGUACGAGAGGACCGGAGUGGACGCAUCACUGGUGUUCGGGUUGUCAUGCCAAUGGCACUGCCCGGUAGCUAAAUGCGGAAGAGAUAAGUGCUGAAAGCAUCUAAGCACGAAACUUGCCCCGAGAUGAGUUCUCCCUGACUCCUUGAGAGUCCUGAAGGAACGUUGAAGACGACGACGUUGAUAGGCCGGGUGUGUAAGCGCAGCGAUGCGUUGAGCUAACCGGUACUAAUGAACCGUGAGG